UACGAAGGGGGCUAGCGUUGCUCGGAAUCACUGGGCGUAAAGCGCACGUAGGCGGCGUGGUAAGUCGGAUGUGAAAUCUCGGAGCUUAACUCCGAAACUGCAUUCGAUACUGCCGUGCUUGAGGACUGGAGAGGAGACUGGAAUUUACGGUGUAGCGGUGAAAUGCGUAGAUAUCGUAAGGAAGACCAGUGGCGAAGGCGGGUCUCUGGACAGUUCCUGACGCUGAGGCACGAAGGCCAGGGGAGCAAACGGG
rnacentral:rRNA from 1 species